rnacentral:rRNA from 1 species
UACGAAGGGGGCUAGCGUUGCUCGGAAUUACUGGGCGUAAAGCGCACGUAGGCGGUCUUUUAAGUCGGGGGUGAAAUCCUGGAGCUCAACUCCAGAACUGCCUUCGAUACUGGAAGACUCGAGUCCGGGAGAGGUGAGUGGAACUGCGAGUGUAGAGGUGAAAUUCGUAGAUAUUCGCAAGAACACCAGUGGCGAAGGCGGCUCACUGGCCCGGUACUGACGCUGAUGCACGAAAGCUGGGGGAGCAAACAGG